GGGCCUAUAGUUUAGGGGUAAAACAUCGGUCUCCAAAACCGACGUCGCAGGUUCGAUUCCUGCUGGGCCCG
rnacentral:tRNA from 1 species